CCGUGGGGUGCCCCACAAGCGAGGCUGGGGGUCACAGAGGCCCUUCAAUGGGAGCUGUGGGACCCCCAUGGCAGAGGCUGGGGGUUCUUGAGGGCCAUAGGGCAGAGUCGGGUCCCCCACAAGAGUAGUUGGAGGUCCCGGAGGUCCGUGGGGCGCCCCCCAAGUGAGGUUGGCGGUCUCCAAUGUCCACGGGGUGCCCCAGAAGUGAGGUCGGGCUCCCUGAGGUCCUUCAGCAGGUGCUGGGCGACCUCAGUGGGAGGUGCCGGAGGCUCUUGAGAUCCAUGGGGCACCCCACAAGUGAGGUUGGGGGUCCCGGAGAGCCAUGGGGCACCCCACAAGUGAGGUCGGAAGUUCUUGAGCUCCUUCAAGGGGUGCCAGGUGACCUCCGUGGGAGGCGCUGGACGUCCAUGGCGUGCCCCACAAGCGAGGUUGGCGGCCCCAGAUAUCCGUGGGGCGCCCCCCAGGAGACACUGGGGGUCCCAGGGGUCUGUGGGGUGUCCCCCAAGCGAGGUCAGGGGUCCUGGAGGCCCUUCGAGGGGUGCUAGCGCGACCUCUAAUGGAGAUGCUGCAGGUUCUUGAGAUCCGUGGGGCGCCCCACAAGUGAGGUUGGGGGUCCCAGAGUCCGUGGGGCAACCCACAAGUCAGGUUGGGGGUCUCCGAGUUCCUUCAAUGGGUGCUGAGUGAUAUAAUUGGGAGAGGCUGGAAGCUCUUGAGGUCCAUGGGGCGCCCCCCAAGUGAGCGGUUGGGGGUCCCGGAGUCCGUGGGGUGCCCCCCAAGUGAGCGGUUGGGGGGUCCCAGAGUCUGUGGGGCGCCCCGCAAGUGAACUGUUCGGGGGUCCCAGAGUCCAUGGGGCACCCCCCAAGUGAGCGGUUGGGGGGUCCCGGAGUCCAUGGGGCACCCCGCAAGUGAGCGGUUGGGGGGUGCCGGAGUCCUUGGGGCGCCCCCCAGGUGAGUGGUUGGGGGGUCCCGGAGUCCGUG